UUUUGCGCAAUGGGCGAAAGCCUGACGCAGCAACGCCGCGUGCGGGACGAAGGCCCUAGGGUUGUAAACCGCUUUCAGCAGGGAAGAUCCAAGACGGUACCUGCAGAAGAAGCUCCGGCUAACUACGUGCCAGCACCCGCGGUAAUUCGUAGGGGGCGAGCGUUAUCCGGAUUCAUUGGGCGUAAAGCGCGCGUAGGCGGCCGCCUAAGCGGAACCUCUAAUCACGGGGCUCAACCUCGGGCCGGGUUCCGGACUGGGCGGCUCGAGUGCGGUAGAGGAGGGCGGAAUUCCCGGUGUAGCGGUGGAAUGCGCAGAUAUCGGGAAGAACACCGAUGGCGAAGGCAGCUCUCUGGGCCGUCACUGACGCUGAGGCGCGAAAGCUGGGGGAGCGAACAG
rnacentral:rRNA from 1 species